rnacentral:rRNA from 1 species
UAGCACAGAGAGCUUGCUCUCGGGUGACGAGUGGCGGAUGGGUGGGUAAUGUCUGGGAAACUGCCUGAUGGAGGGGGAUAACUACUGGAAACGGUAGCUAAUACCGCAUAACGUCGCAAGACCAAAGAGGGGGACCUUCGGGCCUCUUGCCAUCAGAUGUGCCCAGAUGGGAUUAGCUAGUAGGCGGGGUAACGGCCCACCUAGGCGACGAUCCCUAGCUGGUCUGAGAGGAUGACCAGCCACACUGGAACUGAGACACGGUCCAGACUCCUACGGGAGGCAGCAGUGGGGAAUAUUGCACAAUGGGCGCAAGCCUGAUGCAUCCAUGCCGCGUGUGUGAAGAAGGCCUUCGGGUUGUAAAGCACUUUCAGCGGGGAGGAAGGCGGUACGGUUAAUAACCGUGCUGAUUGACGUUACCCGCAAAAGAAGCACCGGCUAACUCCGUGCCAGCAGCCGCGGUAAUACGGAGGGUGCAAGCGUUAAUCGGAAUUACUGGGCGUAAAGCGCACGCAGGCGGUCUGUCAAGUCGGAUGUGAAAUCCCCGGGCUCAACCUGGGAACUGCAUUCAAAACUGG